GUGUUAUGAUGAAAAAAUUCUAUCCAGUUCUGCUACUGAGCAAAAUGAUUGAUAACAAUAUUCUGAUCA
rfam:Biomphalaria glabrata isolate BB02 linkage group LG26 unlocalized genomic scaffold LG26_random_Scaffold59, whole genome shotgun sequence.